AUGGUCAAGUCAUGGUGAAAACACCAGUUCCCAUUUAAUCACUGAAGUUAAGCAUCAUCUUGUGUGGUUAGUGCUUAGAUGGGAGAUCACUUGGGAACAUUGGUUAGC